rnacentral:lncRNA from 1 species
UUCGUCACAACCGAAUCUAACCGGACCAUGCCAGCCCUACUCUACAUAGUCCUAACAUGGGAAAAACAUCAAGCCAUUAAAUUACUUACAAUUCAAACAAAAAGUUUCAAUUACAUUUCCUGCCAUUCUCCAAACCCUUGCAGACUCUAAGGGUUCAAUUUCUUGAUGGCAACCAGCAUUCUGGCACCAUCGAUAAACCGUGCAAGUGUCUUGGAGUCCACCCAACCCUUAGAUACAGUUCCAAAAUGCCCAGAUCCCAACAGCAAAGCUGGCCAUUUUCAGAUCAGCAAGGGUAUAAAUCUUCAAAUUUGAUGUGGGCAAUGUCUUUUCAGACUCAUCGCUUGUUGCGAUAGAAAACUGGCUAAGCUCUAGACUGCUGUUCGCCGUAAAUGGCAAAAAUCUCUCCCAAUUCCUUUCAUUUACUUUACUGGAAGAAGCUUCAAGUUGGAGACUCCGGUCAUGAACUGGAGAAUCUAGUUGAGAGUUAAAACUAGUGGACGCGGAGCUUAUACUCGAUUCCCCUCGAGUGAGCUAAAGCUAAU